CUUGGGCACCAUCCCACACAGCUGGGGCAGCUGAACACUAUGUCCUCACAUUCCUCUGUGGGAGAAAUCAUGGGCUGAUGGUGUCUCUCCUGGUACUCAGCCAUUUCACCUUGAAGGAAGAAUGAUACAGGUCAGACUUGAUUAAUGCUGAAACAGAGAAGCAUCAAUGGAGUUAUCAUACAUUGUUUAGACAGUCAUUGAAAAGUGGAAACAAAAGUCCGGCAGACUCAUUAUGUACCAGAAUGUUUGAUAAAAUGAUCACCACAGGGCUAAGAGGGAUCAGGGACUUACCUGUGCAGCAGCAUUAAGAAGACCAGAGGAA